GCGAUACAUUUCUGCCUUCAUACAUUUUUCUCCAAAAAGUUCAGCAUAAUUAUUUUCCUCCAAUCCCCGUACCAUCUUCUUGUUGGUCUUCCCCUGUGUUGUGUUCGUCGUUGAGGCGUUGUAGUUACGUAAGUCGUGUUCGCUCUCGGAAUUCCUCACAUCUGCGUAAGUCACUUUAUUUUCAUUUCAUUCAAUGAUUCGGGGAAGAGUACGAUUACAGGUUCACUGUGUUCAAGGCUAACUUGCGCCGUGCUCGGCGCCACCAGAGCCUGGAUCCUUCUGCGGUUCACGGGGUGACUCAGUUCUCCGACCUUACGCCGACAGAGUUUCGAAAUAAGGUUUUGGGCCUGUGAGAUGUGAGGUUGCCCUCCGAUGCGGAAAAAGCUCCCAUUCUCCCCACCGAUAAUCUUUCGAGUGAUUUUGAUUGGAGAGAUAACGGUGCAGUUACCGCUGUCAAGAAUCAGGGUUCAUGCGGUUCGUGUUAGAGCUUCAGUGCUACUGGGGCUCUGGAAGGGGCUCACUUUCUGGCAGCAGGGGAACUUGUGAGUCUUAGUGAGCAGCAGCUUGUUGAUUGUGAUCACGAGGUUUUCUUUCGCCCUUUAUCUUCUUGCUAACGACCUUUAACUCAUUGAUUGUUCGUGCAAUUUUUUAUGUAGUCUUAUUAUUGCUUGAUAUGGUGUAACUUUUGUAUUGGUUUAAGACACUUCAUGUCCUCUAGUUAGGAAACUAACUGUUCUGGAAAAAUGACAAACUUUUAGGACAUGAAGAUCAAGCAUGUGUGUUUUUACUAGGCCUGUGUUCUUUCAAUUGUUCGUUCUUUUGGGGUUUAUCAUUGAUCAGGACAUGUCACUAUAUUGCGCUGAGUUUGGGAGGUAAAAUUUUGUAUGGUUUGUUUAGAACGAGUGUCCUGAGAUAUAAUUUGGCUUUACCAUUUAAGGUGCUUUUACUGAACUUAAUUCUUCUAUGCUUAUUGAUGGAAAAAUUUAGUCUGCCUUAAUUCUUUUAUGGCUGUCAAUUAGAGAAUAUAAUUCCGAAGGGUGAUAUUUUUAGAGGUUAAAAUACUCUUAUUUCAUUCAUAUAUGUUCAAACGUCAAUGCAAUAAAUGCAGUCAAUUUUCUAAUGUAUAUCCUCCAUCUUAAAAGGUGGUGAAUCUAAAAAGGUCCAUGUUAAGAUCUUUUCAUAGCAAUGUGCAUACCAUGAGUAUGCUUUGCCCUAUGUUUGAAACAUUCAACGUGACUUUGAAACUGAAUUAAAUAAUUUUAUUAACACUCUUCAAAAUAGUAAAUGAGUGAAAUAAUUCUAUUGAAUCAAACACAGUGAGGGAGAAAUAUUAUUAAUCAAGAACUAUAUAAUUGAUUUAAAAUGUGUGAACUGGAGAGCUGGAGAGAACUGCCCGUGUUCAUUCUGCUCCAUUGUCAGAUCAAACUCCCAUUACAAAGCAAACUUCUGCUUUUGAGAAUGGGAACUUGUCUCGGAAAAUCUCUAGUGCAAGCUCCCUUGGAAGCUUGGAAGAAAGCCACUUUCUGCAAGCAUCGUUGGACUCAUC